UAACUUCUCCACUCGUUAUUGUGUUCUUAUUUCGUUGGAACUGGCAGAGUUGGCGAAUAUUUUAUUUUAUAGUCGAAAUGACCGCGUUUUUACCGUCAAAUCUUUUGGCAUUAUUUGCUGCUAGACCUCCCAUACCAUAUCUUCCGCCUCUGGAUAAACUAGGUCAUCAGAAAAAGCCUUGGUCGUACAGUGGAUCUGCGAGUAUCGUUGCUGACUUCGAGAAAUGUGAAAGAAUUAAGAAAAAGAAAGCGGAUUUGGAGAAAGCUGCAGAAGAAUGGGAUCCUCACACUGAUCCAAAUGCUGUCACAGAGGCAUUUAAAACUUUAUUUGUCAGCAGACUGAAUUACGAUACAUCUGAAAGGAAAAUCCGGAGAGAGAUUGAGGUUUAUGGUCCUGUAAAAUCGAUUCAAAUGGUGACCAAUUCUACCACAGGAAAACCUCGUGGUUAUUGUUUUGUCGAAUUUGAACAUGAAAGGGACAUGCAUAUGCAAAUACUGUCGAUAUUGCCAAGUGAAUGGCAACAGACGAUUGCUCGCUCCUAUGCCAUGGCUAACUCUACUUGAUCAUUUAAAAUGUUUCAUUUUAACUGCCGCUUAUAAACAUGCUGACGGUAAGAAGAUUGACGGCAGGCGUAUUGUAGUAGAUGUGGAAAGAGGAAGAACAGUGAAGAACUGGAAACCUUGACGUUUAGGUGGAGGGCUAGGUGGCACACGAAAUGGUGCUCCUGAAGCAAACAUAAAGCAUUCUGGCCGCGUAGAAAAUUUUCACAGGGAUCGCGAGCGAGAUGAACGUGAUCGUGGUGGUGAAUAUCGUGACCGUUCAAGGCGUGAUCGUGAACGAGACCGUGGCCGUGAUAGAGAUCGCGAUAGACAUGAUCGUCGCCGAGAAAGGGAUCGUGAGGUUCGGGAUCGUGAUGGUCGGGAUCGCGAGGGUCGGGACCGUGAGUUUCGGGACCGUGAGGGUCGAGACCGUUGUUUUUGGACCACUAACAUUGUUUCAUUGUAACUCAUUAUUUUCGAUAUCAACAGACACAUAAAGGCAAGCAAAAGAUUAAUUAAGCAUAGACGAACAAACAACGAAGCAUGCAACAUACAUAUCAAAAUAAGCCGAAUAACAAAUAGUGACUUUUAAACAACUUUCAUGUUGAUAAAAUUUUUAUUUCUUCAAUUCAUUUACCGUUUCAUCAGGUUUGUUGCUGACGCUUUCGACAAUUGCUUGUUUGAUGUGCUUAUAACAUUUUAAAUUUUCCUUUUAAUAAUUAUACAGGAUGUAUCAUUGAAACAUUCUUUAUACAAUGAUAAUUUCUAAAAAAUAGGCACUCGAUGAGUACCUAAGGAUUUGCUUUUUUAUGAUUGACAAUUACAAAAUACCAGUAUGAUUGAUAUAUUCUGACAUAAAUGUGUGGGACUCGAAAUGUUGAGUAUCAAAACACAACACCAUAACAAGGUUUUGCCAAUACAACCACUACAACUUUGUUGUUUACAUUUUCUAUGUUAUGUAUCUGCAUAAUGUCAAAAACAUCUCGCUAUUGCCUGCGUUUCACUAGUCUAUCGAACAUUGGUGUCUACUAUCAGAUCUCUGAACAAACAAACGUUUAAAUUAAUAAAAAUUUGGGAAUGGUAUAUAAAAAAGUGGAAAUAUAAAUUACACUAUAUCUUAGUAACGAGAUGCCCCGAUCCUUGUCGAAGACAUUUCUCAAUACUGCCUUUGUAAACGUUUUAACCUAUGAAUUAAAAAGCAAAUAAUGUUUCCUUACCAUUA